UACGGAGGGUGCAAGCGUUAAUCGGAAUUACUGGGCGUAAAGCGUGCGCAGGCGGUUUGUUAAGUCUGCUGUGAAAUCCCCGAGCUCAACUUGGGAAUUGCAGCGGAUACUGGCAGGCUGGAGUAUGGUAGAGGAAGGUGGAAUUCCCGGUGUAGCAGUGAAAUGCGUAGAGAUCGGGAGGAACACCAGUGGCGAAGGCGGCCUUCUGGACCAAUACUGACGCUCAUGCACGAAAGCGUGGGGAGCAAACAGG
rnacentral:rRNA from 1 species